GCAAAAUAGUUUCCUUAUAAAAUCUUGGUUAAUGGAUGGAGCCACAAGUUGUAAUGUUCGUCGUUCAUCCUUGGUGGUGCUUGUAAUGUCCUCUGUUGAUGUGGUUACUGCUCUUCGUUGUUCUUUGUUGUGAAGUUACUUGUGAAUUGGUGUGGUUUUUAGGGAGUGUGGACGGUUGGCUCCCAGAAGCAGACAACAUUGUCAUCUGUAAGGAUUUUUACCGCCUUGUUAUUCGACAGAGAAAACUUAGUUUACUUUUUCACUCACAAGUUGUUGGGAAGAUUGCUAUAUAUUUCAUGUUUUGUAAGUUUAACUUGUUGUUUCAUCUAAUAAAUUAGUUUUGUUCAUGGAACCUAAUUGGUGGGACUUUAAUUCAGUAAAAAGAUGGUUAGUCGACCAUGAAAUAAACAUCUCGAUAAAGAUACGUUUCGAGAGAAAGGAUGGAGCAAGGGAGUCGGAUUCCCAACAGGGUAUGGUCGUGCACCCAUACUUGUCAACAAAAUAUCCUUGUUUGUAACAUUUUAUUAAAUAGAUUUGUAUGUUAAGCCAACAUAGUUUUUGC
rnacentral:lncRNA from 1 species